rnacentral:rRNA from 1 species
GAUGAACGCUGGCGGCGUGCUUAACACAUGCAAGUCGAACGAAGCACUUUAUUUGAUUUCCUUCGGGAUUGAUUAUUUUGUGACUGAGUGGCGGACGGGUGAGUAACGCGUGGGUAACCUGCCUUGUACAGGGGGAUAACAGUUGGAAACGGCUGCUAAUACCGCAUAAGCGCACAGCAUCGCAUGAUGCAGUGUGAAAAACUCCGGUGGUAUAAGAUGGACCCGCGUUGGAUUAGCUAGUUGGUGAGGUAACGGCCCACCAAGGCGACGAUCCAUAGCCGACCUGAGAGGGUGACCGGCCACAUUGGGACUGAGACACGGCCCAAACUCCUACGGGAGGCAGCAGUGGGGAAUAUUGCACAAUGGGGGAAACCCUGAUGCAGCGACGCCGCGUGAUUGAAGAAGUAUUUCGGUAUGUAAAGAUCUAUCAGCAAGGAGAAAAUGACGGUACUUGACUAAGAAGCCCCGGNUAACUACGUG